GCUGGGCAUGGUGGUGCAUGCCUGUAAUCCUAGCAAUGCAGGAGGCUGAACCAGGAGGACUGUAAAUUCAAGGCUAACCUCAGCAAUUUAGUAAGAACCUGUCUCAA
rnacentral:sRNA from 1 species